GACGAACGCUGGCGGCGUGCUUAACACAUGCAAGUCGAACGGAAAGGCCCUGCUUGCAGGGUACUCGAGUGGCGAACGGGUGAGUAACACGUGGGUGAUCUGCCCUGCACUUCGGGAUAAGCCUGGGAAACUGGGUCUAAUACCGGAUAGGAGCCAUUUUUAGUGUGAUGGUUGGAAAGUUUUUUCGGUGUAGGAUGAGCUCGCGGCCUAUCAGCUUGUUGGUGGGGUAAUGGCCUACCAAGGCGGCGACGGGUAGCCGGCCUGCGAGGGUGGACGGCCACAUUGGGACUGAGAGACGGCCCAGACGCCUACGGGAGGCAGCAGUGGGGAAGAUUGCACAAUGGGCGCAAGGCUGAUGCAGCGACGCCGCGUGGGGGAUGACGGCCUUCGGGUUGUAAACUCCUUUCGCUAGGGACGAAGCUUUUUGUGACGGUACCUAGAUAAGAAGCACCGGCUAACUACGUG
rnacentral:rRNA from 1 species